GAUGAAGAACGUAGCGAAAUGCGAUACUUGGUGUGAAUUGCAGAAUCCCGUGAACCAUCGAGUCUUUGAACGCAAGUUGCGCCCGAAGCCACUAGGCCGAGGGCACGCCUGCCUGGGCGUCACACGUCGUUGCCCCCCCAUCUACUCCUUCGGGAUUGCGGGGGGGCGGAUGAUGGCCUCCCGUGCGCCUAGCCGCGCGGUUGGCAUAAAUACCAAGUCCUCGGGGCCGCACGCCACGACAAUCGGUGGUUGCGAAACCUCGGUUGCCCGUCGUGUGCGUUCGUCGCGCAUCGAGGGCUCGAAAAAAUGCUCGGCUCCGGCUGGGCUUUCAACGCGACCCCAGGUCAGGCGGGGUUACCCGCUGAAUUUAAGCAUAUCAAUAAGCGGAGGA
rnacentral:misc_RNA from 1 species